CUUGCUCUGUCGCUCAGAUUAAUUAAUGCAACUUCAAGUCAAAGUAAAACCUCAGAAUUUCUUCGUAACUGUCGUUAUCCUCAGUGUUUCCCUUAGCUUCAUUGUGACAUUCAAUAAUUUAGGCUCUCAGCGCAUCGCAUGAAUGCGGUAAAUAUUUUGAAUUCAUCUAAAUAAAAGGGACAAAUUAUGUCUAACAAAUCAACUGGUCUGGUUAAGUGGUUUAACGAAGAGAAAGGUUUCGGUUUCAUUACUCAAGACAACGGCGGUGCUGACGUAUUCGUUCACUUCCGUGCAAUCGCUUCAGAAGGCUUCAAAACUCUGGCUGAAGGUCAGAAAGUGUCUUUUGACGUUGAGCAAGGUCAGAAAGGCCCACAGGCUGCUAACGUAGUAGCACUGUAAUUUUUUUCAUUGGCGUAAAGGGCACCAUGCCUUUUACGCCAAU
rnacentral:sRNA from 1 species